rnacentral:rRNA from 1 species
AUUGCCCCAGUAACGGCGAGUGAAGCGGCAACAGCUCAAAUUUGAAAUCUGGCUCUCGGGCCCGAGUUGUAAUUUGCAGAGGAUGCUUUUGAUGCGGCGCCAUCCAAGUUCCCUGGAACGGGACGCCACAGAGGGUGAGAGCCCCGUCUGGUCGGAUGCCAAGUCUCUGUAAAGCUCCUUCGACGAGUCGAGUAGUUUGGGAAUGCUGCUCUAAAUGGGAGGUAUAUGUCUUCUAAAGCUAAAUACCGGCCAGAGACCGAUAGCGCACAAGUAGAGUGAUCGAAAGAUGAAAAGAACUUUGAAAAGAGAGUUAAAAAGUACGUGAAAUUGUUGAAAGGGAAGCGUUUGUGACCAGACUUGGGCGCGCGCGAUCAUCCGGGGUUCUCCCCGGUGCACUCGUGCCGUCCAGGCCAGCAUCAGUUUCGCCCGGGGGACAAAGGCGGAGGGAAUGUGGCUCCUCUCGGGGAGUGUUAUAGCCCACCGUGCAAUGCCCUGGGCGGGACUGAGGUUCGCGCAUCUGCAUGGAUGCUGGCAUAAUGGUCAUCAACGACCCGUCUUGAAACACGGACCAAGGAGUCGUCUUCGUAUGCGAGUGUUCGGGUGUCAAACCCCUACGCGUAAUGAAAGUGAACGCAGGUGAGAGCUUCGGCGCAUCAUCGACCGAUCCUGAUGUUCUCGGAUGGAUUUGAGUAAGAGCAUACGGAGCCGGACCCGAAAGAAGGUGAACUAUGCCUGUGUAGGGUGAAGCCAGAGGAAACUCUGGUGGAGGCUCGCAGCGGUUCUGACGUGCAAAUCGAUCGUCAAACAUGGGCAUGGGGGCGAAAGACUAAU